rnacentral:rRNA from 1 species
GAUGAACGCUAGCUACAGGCUUAACACAUGCAAGUCGAGGGGCAACGACAUCGAAAGCUUGCUUUUGAUGGGCGUCGACCGGCGCACGUGUGAGUAACGCCUAUCCCACCUUCUCAUCACUUGGUAAUAACCUUGCGCAAUUAAUACUAAUACCCACUGAUAUCCCACGAAGGCAUCGGAAUUGCAUUCCUUAUUUAUCUGUGUUGGCCGGUGAUGCGUCGGAUUAGCUUGUUGGCGGGGUAACGGCCCACCAAGGCAACGAUCAGUAGGGGUUCUGAGAGGAAGGUCCCCGAGAUUGGAACUGAGACACGGACCAAACUGGUACGGGAGGAAGCAGUGAGGAAUAUUGGGGAAGGGGCGAGAGCCUGAACCAGCCAAGUAGCGUGCAGGAAGACGGCCCUAGGGGUUGUAAACUGCUUGUAUAAGGGAAUAAAGUGGGUCACGGGUGACUUUUUGCAGGUACCUUAUGAAUAAGAACCGGCUAAUUCCGUG